UACUACAGUCUCUAGGAUGCACCAUCUCAUUAACUAAGUCACUCAGCUCAGCGACAUUACCCCAGGGCUGUGCGCCAAGGAAAGCAAGAAUGCAGAAAGAAAGGCGUGUGCUGCUUUUGAUCUCCCACGUGCACUGUGAAUUGUGAAACUGGAGUCUCAGUGCUUGUUUCGUAAACAUGCCAGAGACCGUCUCCGGAGACAGACAGACGGAUGCGCCGGCUGUGGGCAGUCUAUGGUAGCAUGAGUUGCGUCGUGAAGCAAAUUGAAGUGGGCGCUGACUUUGCCGGGAUGUUGCCCAAGUGCCCGCCAUCACCCAACAGGAGCAAACCACAGAAGUUUUAAAUAAAGCAGAUUUUCAGG